rnacentral:rRNA from 1 species
UAGUCCGCACGAGCGCAACCCCUGCGACUAGUUACAACUCUAGUCGGACUGCCGCGAGCAACGCGGAGGAAGGUGGGGAUGACGUCAAGUCCGCAUGGCCUGUAUUGUCCUGGGCUACACACACGCUACAAUGGGCGGUACAACGGGAGGCGAGCGCGCGAGCGUGAGCGGAUCCCUGAAAGCCGUCCGGUAGUACGGAUGAGAGGCUGCAACUCGCCUCUCUGAAUGUCGGAGUUGCUAGUAACCGUGGGUCAGCAUACCGCGGUGAAUACGUUCUCGGGCCUUGNACACACCGCCCGU